rnacentral:sRNA from 1 species
GAUUUACAAAUGCUACGCUACAAACGAUAAAGAUAAAUCUUUAUAAAGUUAUAUUUUUCCCGGUUAUAAAGGUAGAGCUUAAGCAAGUAAAAUCUUGGUAUAGUGCUAUUGCUUCGUGGAAGGAACACAAGAUUUUGUGACGUUUGUAGCGAGAUGAUGCUGAAUGUUGAUGAGCGCCAAUCAGGAAUAUAGCAAAUAAAUAAAGAUGACCCACGGACACAGACCACCCGCUGCGAAGGGUAGGGAUGUUCAGCUCAGGAUGUACGCGUACAUAUGGUAGUCACUGUGUCAGUAUAUGGAUACCCUCUGCCAGUGCAAAAAUCUAAUUAUAUCCGACAUCAAACUUAUAAUUAACAUUUUGACCGCAGCACAAAAUUUUGCAAAAAGCCAAAAAGAAACCAAAGAAAAAGUAGAGAAAGUAGCAGGCGCAAAGGGUGGGCAACACAUAUGUACACCCCCUAAAGCAUGUGCAGGAGACAUUUUUAAUUAGUUUUGCGGUUGACAUACAA